rnacentral:rRNA from 1 species
AACGAACGCUGGCGGCAGGCCUAACACAUGCAAGUCGAACGCCGUAGCAAUACGGAGUGGCAGACGGGUGAGUAACGCGUGGGAACCUACCUUACGGUCGGGAAUAGCUCAGGGAAACUUGGGGUAAUACCGGAUACGCCCUUACGGGGAAAGAUUUAUCGCCGUUAGAUGGGCCCGCGUAGGAUUAGCUGGUUGGUGAGGUAAUGGCUCACCAAGGCGACGAUCCUUAGCUGGUCUGAGAGGAUGAUCAGCCACACUGGGACUGAGACACGGCCCAGACUCCUACGGGAGCAGCAGUGGGGAAUAUUGGACAAUGGGCGCAAGGCCUGAUCCAGCCAUGCCGCGUGAGUGACGAAGGCCUUAGGGUUGUAAAGCUCUUUUGGCGGGGAAGAUAAUGACGGUACCGCAGAUAAGCUCCGGCUAACUUCGUGCCAGCAGCCGCGGUAA